CUUCGAAUUGUCGUCAGGUAUUGG
rnacentral:siRNA from 1 species